UACGGAGGAUCCAAGCGUUAUCCGGAAUCAUUGGGUUUAAAGGGUCCGUAGGUGGACGAUUAAGUCAGGGGUGAAAUCUUGCAGCUCAACUGUAAAAUUGCCUUUGAUACUGGUCGUCUUGAGUUAUUGUGAAGUGGUUAGAAUAUGUAGUGUAGCGGUGAAAUGCAUAGAUAUUACAUAGAAUACCAAUUGCGAAGGCAGAUCACUAACAAUCAACUGACACUGAUGGACGAAAGCGUGGGGAGCGAACAGG
rnacentral:rRNA from 1 species